UACAGGGGGUGCAACCGUUGCUCGGAAUUAUUGGGCGUAAAGCGCACGUAGGCGGUUUGUUAUGUCGGAUGUGAAAGCCCUUGGCUCAACUGAGGAAGUGCAUCCGAAACUGGCAAGCUAGAGUAUGUAAGAGGGUCGCGGAAUUCCCGGUGUAGAGGUGAAAUUCGUAGAUAUCGGGAGGAACACCGGUGGCGAAGGCGGCGACCUGGGACAAUACUGACGCUGAGGUGCGAAAGCGUGGGGAGCAAACAGG
rnacentral:rRNA from 1 species